rfam:Triticum aestivum genome assembly, contig: Triticum_aestivum_CS42_TGACv1_scaffold_250175_3DL
UAAAUACUCCCUUGUCCGAAAAUACUUGUCAAAGAAAUGGAUGUAUCUAGACAUAAUUUAGUUCUAGAUACAUCCAUUUUUAUUCAUUUCUAUGACGAGUAUUUCCGGACGGAAGGAGUACAAG